rnacentral:rRNA from 1 species
GCUUACACAUGCAAGUCGAGGGGCAGCAUGGUCUUAGCUUGCUAAGGCUGAUGGCGACCGGCGUAAGGGUGCGUAACGCGUAUGUAACUUGCCUUUGAGAGGGGGAUAACCCGGAGAAAUCCGGCCUAAUACCGCGUAUUCUCAAGUUGCUGCAUGGCAGUUUGAGGAAAGAUUUAUUGCUCAGAGAUAGGCAUGCGUUCCAUUAGGUAGUUGGUGAGGUAACGGCUCACCAAGCCGACGAUGGAUAGGGGAGCUGAGAGGCUGACCCCCCACACUGGGACUGAGACACGGCCCAGACUCCUACGGGAGGCAGCAGUGAGGAAUAUUGGUCAAUGGAGGCAACUCUGAACCAGCCAAGUCGCGUGAAGGAAGACUGUCCUAUGGAUUGUAAACUUCUUUAGUAGGUGAAUAGAGUCGGGCACGUGUGCCCGUAGGCAUGUAACCUAAGAAUAAGUAUCGGCUAACUCCGUGCCAGCAGCCGCGGUAAU